AUAAGGUUAAGUGAAUAAGGGCGCACGGUGGAUGCCUUGGCACUAGGAGCCGAUGAAGGACGGGACUAACACCGAUAUGCUUUGGGGAGCUGUACGUAAGCUAUGAUCCAGAGAUUUCCGAAUGGGGGAACCCAGCAUCUUUAAUAGGAUGUUACGAUUGUGUGAAUACAUAGCACAUUCGAGGUAGACGCAGAGAACUGAAACAUCUAAGUACCUGCAGGAAGAGAAAGAAAAUUCGAUUCCCUGAGUAGCGGCGAGCGAAACGGGAAAAGCCCAAACCAGCAAGCUUGCUUGUUGGGGUUGUAGGACUCCAAUAUGGUAGUUCUUUCAGAUAGUCGAAUGACUUGGAAAAGUCAGUCAAAGAGGGUAAAAACCCCGUAGACGAAAUGUGGAAGACACCUAGGAGGAUCCUGAGUACGGCGGAACACGAGAAAUUCCGUCGGAAUCCGGGAGGACCAUCUCCCAAGGCUAAAUACUCCCUAGUGACCGAUAGUGAACCAGUACCGUGAGGGAAAGGUGAAAAGCACCCCGGAAGGGGAGUGAAAUAGAACCUGAAACCGUGUGCCUACAACAAGUCAAAGCCCGUUAAUGGGUGAUGGCGUGCCUUUUGUAGAAUGAACCGGCGAGUUACGAUUGCAUGCGAGGUUAAGUUGAAGAGACGGAGCCGCAGCGAAAGCGAGUCUGAAUAGGGCGUUUGAGUAUGUAGUCGUAGACCCGAAACCAUGUGAUCUACCCAUGUCCAGGUUGAAGGUGCGGUAAAACGCACUGGAGGACCGAACCCACGUACGUUGAAAAGUGCGGGGAUGAGGUGUGGGUAGCGGAGAAAUUCCAAACGAACUUGGAGAUAGCUGGUUCUCUCCGAAAUAGCUUUAGGGCUAGCCUCGGAAUUGAGAAUGAUGGAGGUAGAGCACUGUUUGGACUAGGGCCCAUCUCAGGUUACCGAAUUCAGAUAAACUCCGAAUGCCAUUCAUUCAUAUCCGGGAGUCAGACUGUGAGUGAUAAGAUCCAUAGUCGAAAGGGAAACAGCCCAGACCACCAGCUAAGGUCCCAAAAUAUAUGUUAAGUGGAAAAGGAUGUGGGGUUGCACAGACAACUAGGAUGUUGGCUUAGAAGCAGCCACCAUUUAAAGAGUGCGUAAUAGCUCACUAGUCGAGUGACCCUGCGCCGAAAAUGUACCGGGGCUAAACAUAUUACCGAAGCUGUGGAGUACACCUUUAGGUGUAUUGGUAGGAGAGCGUUCUAAGGGCGUUGAAGGCAGAUCGUGAGGACUGCUGGAGCGCUUAGAAGUGAGAAUGCCGGUAUGAGUAGCGAAAGACAGGUGAGAAUCCUGUCCACCGAAUGACUAAGGUUUCCUGGGAAGGCUCGUCCGCCCAGGGUUAGUCGGGACCUAAGCCGAGGCCGACAGGCGUAGGCGAUGGAUAACAGGUUGAUAUUCCUGUACCCGUUGUUUUUGUUUGAGCAAUGGAGGGACGCAGGAGGCUAAGGAAUGCAGACGAUUGGAAAUGUCUGUCCAAGCAGUAAGUCUGAAGAGGAGUCAAAUGCUUCUUUUCUUAAGGACAAGCUGUGAUGGGGAGGGAAAUAAUAGUACCGAAGUUCCUGAUGUCACACUGCCGAGAAAAGCUUCUAGUGAGAAAACAGCGGCCCGUACCGCAAACCGACACAGGUAGUCGAGGAGAGAAUCCUAAGGUGAGCGAGAGAACUCUCGUUAAGGAACUCGGCAAAAUGACCCCGUAACUUCGGGAGAAGGGGUGCUGAUCAUACGAUCAGCCGCAGUGAAUAGGCCCAAGCGACUGUUUAUCAAAAACACAGGUCUCUGCAAAAUCGUAAGAUGAAGUAUAGGGGCUGACGCCUGCCCGGUGCUGGAAGGUUAAGAGGAGUGCUUAGCGCAAGCGAAGGUACGAAUUGAAGCCCCAGUAAACGGCGGCCGUAACUAUAACGGUCCUAAGGUAGCGAAAUUCCUUGUCGGGUAAGUUCCGACCCGCACGAAAGGCGUAACGAUUUGGGCACUGUCUCAACGAGAGACUCGGUGAAAUUUUAGUACCUGUGAAGAUGCAGGUUACCCGCGACAGGACGGAAAGACCCCAUGGAGCUUUACUGUAGUUUGAUAUUGAGUGUCUGUACCGCAUGUACAGGAUAGGUAGGAGCCGUAGAAAUCGGAACGCUAGUUUCGAUGGAGGCGCUGGUGGGAUACUACCCCUGCGUUAUGGCCACUCUAACCCGCACCACUAAUCGUGGUGGGAGACAGUGUCAGAUGGGCAGUUUGACUGGGGCGGUCGCCUCCUAAAAGGUAACGGAGGCGCCCAAAGGUUCCCUCAGAAUGGUUGGAAAUCAUUCGAAGAGUGUAAAGGCAGAAGGGAGCUUGACUGCGAGACCAACAAGUCGAGCAGGGACGAAAGUCGGGCUUAGUGAUCCGGUGGUUCCGCAUGGAAGGGCCAUCGCUCAACGGAUAAAAGCUACCCUGGGGAUAACAGGCUUAUCUCCCCCAAGAGUCCACAUCGACGGGGAGGUUUGGCACCUCGAUGUCGGCUCGUCGCAUCCUGGGGCUGUAGUCGGUCCCAAGGGUUGGGCUGUUCGCCCAUUAAAGCGGCACGCGAGCUGGGUUCAGAACGUCGUGAGACAGUUCGGUCCCUAUCCGUCGCGGGCGUUGGAAAUUUGAGAGGAGCUGUCCUUAGUACGAGAGGACCGGGAUGGACUUACCGCUGGUGUACCAGUUGUUCUGCCAAGGGCAUUGCUGGGUAGCUAUGUAGGGAAGGGAUAAACGCUGAAAGCAUCUAAGUGUGAAGCCCACCUCAAGAUGAGAUUUCCCAUUUCUUUAAGAAAGUAAGAUCCCUGAGAGAUGAUCAGGUAGAUAGGUCAGGAGUGGAAGUACAGUGAUGUAUGGAGCGGACUGAUACUAAUCGAUCGAGGACUUAACCAAU
rnacentral:rRNA from 1 species